AUUGAACGCUGGCGGAAUGCUUUACACAUGCAAGUCGAACGGUAGAGGGGGCAACCCCUCGAGAGUGGCGAACGGGUGAGUAAUAUAUCGGAACGUGCCCAGGUCGUGGGGGAUAACGUAGCGAAAGUUACGCUAAUACCGCAUACGAUCUACGGAUGAAAGCGGGGGAUCGCAAGACCUCGCGCGAUUGGGAGCGGCCGAUAUCAGAUUAGGUAGUUGGUGGGGUAAAGGCUCACCAAGCCAACGAUCUGUAGCUGGUCUGAGAGGACGACCAGCCACACUGGAACUGAGACACGGUCCAGACUCCUACGGGAGGCAGCAGUGGGGAAUUUUGGACAAUGGACGCAAGUCUGAUCCAGCCAUUCCGCGUGGCAGGAUUGAAGGGCCCCUCGGGGUUGUAAAACUGCUUUUGUACGGAACGAAAACGGUCCUGGGUAAUACCCGGGGCUAA
rnacentral:rRNA from 1 species